rnacentral:pre_miRNA from 13 species
ACGUUAUAACGUAUUACGUUAUAUUGUGUGACGUUAUAACGUAUUACGUUAUAUGGCAUAACGAUAUAACGUAUUACGUUGUAUGU